CAGUUCAAAGCAGACAAUCUGGGAUCAGAUCCUGGGAUUUAGGGCAGUGUAGGAGGGGCUCCAGUUUGGCUGGUAAAGACCAAAUUAAUCCUCUGUUGUCCCACUUUUUCACUGGCUUUUAACAUGUUCUAGUUUCUCCCUUCUCUUCCUGUUGUCUCACAUUGUCCACAGGUUAUUUCAAUUGCUGAAAACGGAGUUCAAAGUGCAAAAGUAAUUUGCACUCAGCUUAGCAGGAAGAUGAAGAGGGGUGGAAUCUUACUUUCUCAGUAGAUUUAAGCAAAAACAAACUGCUGUAGCCUCUCCUGGCUUGUGUGUUCUGUCACACUAAUAACUUUCCCUUCUGCCUUUUGAGUUAAUUCGAUGCAAACUACUGCAUUUGGAAUUAACUUUGUAACAGAUGAAGUAGUCUAAGGACAAAAGGGGAAUGCAGGAAGAAGAGAGAAAAAAUUGCAAAUUUAAAAAGCUGUGGAGACUAGAGGCCCAAGUUAAAGAUCACCAUGCAGAACCAACCCCUGGAAGUUGUUGUGGUUUCCAGUCAAGAAGGGCUUCCUCAGAAAAGCCCAGCACCAUCCUCGGACGAAGGCCUACAUCUUUACAAGAGACUACGGAGCGAUUCACCAUUUUCCUCCAAGGAGUGGGAAGAAUAUCCAUCGCCAAACAGGACUCGUUUGGUUGUGUCGGUGACUUCUGCCGAGGAGUCAGCUCAUCAUUUGCUGGAAACAGAACGGAUACAACCAGAGACAGAAACCUUAAAGCUAAGACCUCAGGAAGAUCCAUCUCCACAGUUUGUUCCAUCUUUGACCCAGUCCCAGUCCACAAUCCUGUGCAAGAAGAAAGCUGGCCAGAGACAAUGCAAGGCUUCUUAUAAUCCUGAUGACUUUACUUCCGAUGAGCUGGAUCCAUUGUAUGAGUGGCCAAAGAAAUCUUCUUCAGUUGAUAAACGUGAUUUGGAUGUGAUUUCUCUCUUAAGAAGUAUUUUGGUUCUGUUUCCUUUGGGUUUGCGCUUGGAAAAACUGGAGAUGAUGCUGUGGAAGGAGCAUGAGGUCAAGCUGUGCAAGAUCAGCAUGGAAUAUGGCUACAGAGACAGCCUCAGGUUCUUACAGGCCAUGCCUUGGAUCAGGACUAAGCUCUCGAGUAAGGGAACUUCUCGGUGGCUUGUGCAGUGGGACCCAGCUACUUCCUGUUGACUCUGGCAGACGUAGGAAGGAAGGAACAGAGGCACUCAAGGAACCCAGGUUUUGUUUCACUAUU
rnacentral:lncRNA from 11 species